GACGAACGCUGACGGCGUGCUUUAGACAUGCAAGUCGAACGCGAAAGCCCUUCGGGGUGAGUAGAGUGGCGAACGGGUGAGUAACACGUGGGUAACCUACCCCUCGCAGGGGGAUAACCGGGGGAAACCCCGGCUAAUAGCCCGUACGCUACGUUGGGCCGCAUGGCCCUUCGAGGAAAGGUAGCUUCGGCCAUCCGGCGAGGGAUGGGUCCGCGGUACAUUAGCUAGUUGGUGGGGUAACGGCUCACCAAGGCUACGAUGAUAGCUGGUCUGAGAGGAUGAUCAGCCACACUGGGACU
rnacentral:rRNA from 1 species